rnacentral:rRNA from 1 species
UACAGAGGUCUCAAGCGUUGUUCGGAUUCAUUGGGCGUAAAGGGUGUGUAGGUGGCGCCGUAAGUCGGGUGUGAAAUUUCGGAGCUUAACUCCGAAACUGCAUUCGAUACUGCGGUGCUUGAGGACUGGAGAGGAGACUGGAAUUUACGGUGUAGCAGUGAAAUGCGUAGAUAUCGUAAGGAAGACCAGUGGCGAAGGCGGGUCUCUGGACAGUUCCUGACACUGAGACACGAAGGCCCAGGGGGAGCAAACGGGG